rnacentral:rRNA from 1 species
UACAGAGGUCUCAAGCGUUGUUCGGAUUCAUUGGGCGUAAAGGGUGCGUAGGCGGCGCGGUAAGUCGGGUGUGAAAUCUUGGAGCUUAACUCCGAAACUGCAUUCGAUACUGCGGUGCUUGAGGACUGGAGAGGAGACUGGAAUUCAUGGUGUAGCAGUGAAAUGCGUAGAGAUCAUGAAGAAGACCAGUGGCGAAGGCGGGUCUCUGGACAGUUCCUGACACUGAGACACGAAGGCCAGGGGAGCAAACGGG